AACAUCGCGCACCUGCGGGAACCUGCGGAGGGAUCAUUAAAGAUUGACCGAAAGGUCUUAUCUCUAUAUCCCUCACCUCUGUGAACUGUGGACCUCCGGGUCUAUUUAACAAACAUCAGUGUAAUGAACGUAUAUAUCAUUAAACAAAACAAAACUUUCAACAACGGAUCU
rnacentral:misc_RNA from 1 species